rnacentral:rRNA from 1 species
GACGAACGCUGGCGGCGUGCUUAACACAUGCAAGUCGAACGGAAAGGCCCUUCGGGGUACUCGAGUGGCGAACGGGUGAGUAACACGUGGGUGAUCUGCCCUGCACUUUGGGAUAAGCCUGGGAAACUGGGUCUAAUACCGAAUAUGAUCAUGGCCUUCAUGGGUUGUGGUGGAAAGCUUUUGCGGUGUGGGAUGGGCCCGCGGCCUAUCAGCUUGUUGGUGGGGUAAUGGCCUACCAAGGCGACGACGGGUAGCCGGCCUGAGAGGGUGUCCGGCCACACUGGGACUGAGAUACGGCCCAGACUCCUACGGGAGGCAGCAGUGGGGAAUAUUGCACAAUGGGCGCAAGCCUGAUGCAGCGACGCCGCGUGAGGGAUGACGGCCUUCGGGUUGUAAACCUCUUUCAGCAGGGACGAAGCGCAAGUGACGGUACCUGUAGAAGAAGGACCGGCCAACUACGUGCCAGCAGCCGCGGUAAUACGUAGGGUCCGAGCGUUGUCCGGAAUUACUGAGCGUAAAGAGCUCGUAGGUGGUUUGUCGCGUUGUUCGUGAAAACUCACAGCUUAACUGUGGGCGUGCGGGCGAUACGGGCAGACUUGAGUACUGCAGGGGAGACUGAAAUUCCUGGUGUAGCGGUGGAAUGCGCAGAUAUCAGGAGGAACACCGGUGGCGAAGGCGGGUCUCUGGGCAGUAACUGACGCUGAGGAGCGAAAGCGUGGGGAGCGAACAGGAUUAGAUACCCUGGUAGUCCACGCCGUAAACGGUGGGUACUAGGUGUGGGUUUCCUUCCUUGGGAUCCGUGCCGUAGCUAACGCAUUAAGUACCCCGCCUGGGGAGUACGGCCGCAAGGCUAAAACUCAAAGAAAUUGACGGGGGCCCGCACAAGCGGCGGAGCAUGUGGAUUAAUUCGAUGCAACGCGAAGAACCUUACCUGGGUUUGACAUGCACAGGACGUGCCUAGAGAUAGGUAUUCCCUUGUGGCCUGUGUGCAGGUGGUGCAUGGCUGUCGUCAGCUCGUGUCGUGAGAUGUUGGGUUAAGUCCCGCAACGAGCGCAACCCUUAUCUUAUGUUGCCAGCGCGUAAUGGCGGGGACUCGUGAGAGACUGCCGGGGUCAACUCGGAGGAAGGUGGGGAUGACGUCAAGUCAUCAUGCCCCUUAUGUCCAGGGCUUCACACAUGCUACAAUGGCCGGUACAAAGGGCUGCGAUGCCGUGAGGUGGAGCGAAUCCUUUCAAAGCCGGUCUCAGUUCGGAUCGGGGUCUGCAACUCGACCCCGUGAAGUCGGAGUCGCUAGUAAUCGCAGAUCAGCAACGCUGCGGUGAAUACGUUCCCGGGCCU